UCGAGAGAGAGAUAAGUAAUACGCUACCUACCCGCUUUAUUUAUUUUAUUUUUGAAAUAAACUUAGUUAGAAAUAUGAAUCAACUAGAAUUCGAAUUUGGGACCUCGGGUAUCAUCCACCAAGCAUUUUGCCACGCGUGCACUUGUUGUGCUAUCCAAAAAUAUGAUACGGUAGAAAUGAUUCAGAAUUAGCACUUUUAUUUUUAUAUAUAUAUAAUGAAUGUUAGAUAAACUGUAUGUACGUAUAUGUACUAACUGAAGAAGUAUUAGAAAAUA
rnacentral:lncRNA from 1 species